ensembl:rRNA 5S_rRNA 5S ribosomal RNA
CUCUAUGGCCACACCACCCUGAAUGCGUCCCAUCUUGUGUGAUCUUGGAAGCUAAGCAGGGUCGGGCCUGGUUAGUACUUGGAUGGGAGACCACUUGGGAAUGCCGGUUGCCGAAGGCU